GCGCCCUUCGUCUAUCGGUUAGGACAGCAGCCUUUCACGUUGCAGAGGCGGGUUCGAUUCCCGCAGGGCGCGCCA
rnacentral:tRNA from 1 species